rnacentral:rRNA from 1 species
CCUACGGGGCGCAGCAGUGAGGAAUAUUGGUCAAUGGACGCAAGUCUGAACCAGCCAUGCCGCGUGCAGGAAGACGGCUCUAUGAGUUGUAAACUGCUUUUGUACGAGGGUAAACGCAGAUACGUGUAUCUGUCUGAAAGUAUCGUAUGAAUAAGGAUCGGCUAACUCCGUGCCAGCAGCCGCGGUAAUACGGAGGAUUCAAGCGUUAUCCGGAUUUAUUGGGUUUAAAGGGUGCGUAGGCGGUCGGAUAAGUUAGAUGUGAAAUUCCGCGGCUCAACUUCGGAAUUGCAUUUGAUACUGUCAGUCUAGAGAACAGGUGCGGUAGGCGGAAUGUAUGGUGUAGCGGUGAAAUGCUUAGAGAUCAUACAGAACACCGAUUGCGAAGGCAGCUUACCAAGCUACUUCUGACGUUGAGGCACGAAAGCGUGGGGAGCAAACAGGAUUAGAUACCCUGGUAGUC